GCUGGGUUGACUUCAAAAGAAACGGCAACGAGUCAGCCAGUAUGGUUGUGUGAGUACAGAAGAAAUGACAAUGAUGGCUGGCAGCUAAUAUAGAAACUGGUCCGGUGCAUGGCCAGUUUCCAAUGAUCCUUUGGUUGUUCUGAUAAGCUAGUGGUUUGUCAAGAUCAUUAUAAAGAUGUGGCUUCCGUGGGCAUGAUUAGAAGUAAUCAU
rnacentral:lncRNA from 1 species